ensembl:lncRNA
ACAGAAGAUGGUUACAAAAAUGACUCCAAAGGUGGCAGUAUCCUUUAGGCUGCAGGGAGAGAGGUUUGGAAGUGAAAGAUUGAGCAAAUGUACUUGUGGCAAAAUCAUUUGAAGGAGUCAGGAUGAAAAAUGAUGUACAUAUUGUUCCUGAAGACAGCAAGUCACAGAGACAUGAUUCAAGGCUGGAUCUUAGGAAGAGCAAGUAGAAGCAAGGCUACAUCAGAGAUGAAGUGAAGGAUGCCAGGCAUACCUCUGGACCUGAAUUUCUCCAGCAAAUAGAACAGACUGCUUAGAGAUCUUCCUUGGUGAAAUGAAAUCAUAUUACUUUGUAGGAAAGCUCACUCUAAUGUUUUCAAUCUCUGUAGAAUUCAAUAUGCAUUCCAAUUGCUUGAGAAGAAUGGCUUUUAAAGACAGCGUAGGUAAGACAUGCUUUUGGUUUGUAGCACAGUGGCUGUCGCAUCCUGCAGAUUCUGUCCCUCUUCCAUUGGAGAUUUCUCCAGGACACUUCCUGAAGGAGUUCACUCUUUUCUUUUAGUUCACAAAAUGAUUUGGGUUUGGGUAUGAAUGAUGGGGAACAAGAGUUAAGGAAAAAAAACUAAAAUCCUCAGUAAAGGGCAUUAGUGUUCAUGAAGUUUUUGCUUCCUGUUAUACAUUCCUGCCAUAGAAUGAACUAAAUUUUUGGAUUUUCUUCAAAGAUAGAAUGUGAUUGUGCUCAGAGUAUUAUGGCAGCCAAAAGGAAACCUACAAUCCAUAUCCCUUUUGCUCUUCAGUGUAGAACGAUUAUGAACAGAGAGGCAGACAUUUCCCACUGCACACAAACCUCAUCCUAUGAUACCUGUAUUGUGAAUUAGAAAAACUUCCUUGAAGUCUUCUAUAAGAUGCUGUUCUUGGACCAGAGAUACAUUAAGGGAAUUUGUGUCUUUCAUGGUACUUCUCAGCUGUCUUAUAAAAACUGUAUUCUUCGGUGUUACAGCAGAACUUUUCCAAGCAGUUGUCACUAAAGACUUUGUGGACUGUAGCUUUUCCCUCUGCCUUUCUGGCUAUUUCUGUUGGUUAAUGCAUAGAGAAGGAAGAAUCACAUCUCUGAUCUUUAUGGCCUUUCUCUGCGAGGCUCAGCCCAGCUCAGGGCUCAUUGUAUCCCUCAGAGAAGGAAGCUUAACAUGCGAUGGCGAUACUCCACAGUCUGUCUUCAGCGUCUUUAUUUCAUGUCACAGGGACAGAAGAGAGAGCAGGUGGUGUGAUAAAGUAAUUAUGCACCGAAACUUAAAGUGCAGUUCACCUCAUCACUCUGUAGCAGCAGAGAUGAAAAUAAGCCAUGAUAAUGCCAGCACUCACCUGAAUAAAAAGAUUGCCCUGGUUGUAAUAGCAUUCAUUUGUUCCUUCAUACUGCUCCUUGUGCAGAAAGUUCAUCCAAGAAAGAAAAAACUGACUUAGAAUAUAAAAACGAAGACGUUCACCUAGCAACUAACUGGAUGUGUUCCAGUACUUGCUGAACCCCCUGUGGAGUGUUUCUUAUUGAUUUGUCAUGGAAUCUAUCAAAAGACCUGUUUCAGCUAUAGAUGUGCUGCCUGUGAGACUGGAAUUGGUGAACCGUAUUGUGCUCUGUUCCUGGAAACCUUUCUGCCUCUGAGAUCAAAAGAAAAAUUAAAGUGUUUUAUUCUUUUCCUCUCCCUUUCAUAUACU